ensembl:lncRNA
GGGUAGCCUAGUGGUUAGAGUGUAGAGGCGGCAGGGUAGCCUAGUGGUUAGAGUGUAGAGGUGGCAGGUAGCCUAGUGGUUAGAGUGUAGAGGCGGCAGGGUAGCCUAGUGGUUAGAGUGUAGGGGCGGCAGGGUAGCCUAGUGGUUAGAGUGUAGAGGUGGCAGGGUAGCCUAGUGGUUAGAGUGUAGAGGUGGCAGGGUAGCCUAGUGGUUAGAGUGUAGAGGUGGCAGGGUAGCCUAGUGGUUAGAGCGUAGAGGUGGCAGGUAGCCUAGUGGUUAGAGCGUAGAGGUGGCAGGUAGCCUAGUGGUUAGACGUAGAGGUGGCAGGUAGCCUAGUGGUUAGAGUGUAGAGGUGGCAGGGUAGCCUAGUGGUUAGA